GACGGGUUAAGCGUCCGAAACGGAGCGGAGCCCAACGUUUCCGCGUCCGAUGCGGCAGAAAGACGAAUGUUAACGGCGCGCGACCGAGUUAACGCGCACAAUAAAGCGUUAGUCGCGCCGCGAUCCGCGACCAUAACGGACGACGGGAGAUACCGUCUGGUUUUCGCAUAAACGUUCGCCGGGGCGCACGAUCUCGCCGCGAGAUCGUAUCUCCGUGAAUCACGGACAGUGACGAGCAUCGCGCUUGUAUCUCGCUGUUUACAACAGCCUUAAGGAUCUGCGCCGCGCCGGGACGAGAGGAGAGGCUGUGCGACACGCAGCCCGAUUAGCGCGACGUGUCGUAAAUCGCGGCCGUUACGGUUAAUUGCAUCGCGACCCUACGGAGAUGGUAUUGAGCCGCGGCACGAAAAUACAUGUCACCUGCAAAGCAGUGUUUUACCUUCUCUACGGUCCCCCGGGGGGGACAGAGCGAGACGGAGCAACAGGUGCCCGCUCGCUCGAAUCGAUCGAAGUCGGUGGUCCCGCUCCGAAAUUCUUACUCUUAUCUGUUGCACCUUGCUUCCACUCUGAUUCCGUGUCACCAACACACUCGCGGCUGCCGAUGGGCAAACAGGUAGAACGACUCCGGCCGUGCCGGCUCGCUCACGAAUCAGUUUCGAUCGCGGUUAUCGCGGAGCUUGCGGAUCUUUCGCCGAACGUGUAGCGUUUCCGAAACGACCCUUUCGGAGCCGGCACACUCCGCGUCACUUUUUCACGUGUCGAGGGGCGAAUUUUCUCCGUCGAAGCGAGCCGUGCAACAGGUACACGCACCGAGCCCGGUAAUCCUCGCUGUAAUCGUCCCACGCACUCGCUCGCGGCCGGACGGCUUGCGUAACAGCGGUCUAACGACGCGGACGACGACGACGACGAAGGCGACCACGAAGAGGAACCACUCGCUGGUACGUCGGGCGAACGCACUCUCGUCGGCUGGUCGUCGCCAGGUGCCAAGGGAACGAGCGGCGGCGGCAACGGUCGCGGUCAAAACGCGAAAACGAACUCGCGCGCCGGUGCUGUUCGACACCGACCCUGCACUGGCACAUAUCGCCGAAGCACGUGCACACGAGGCGUGUGCGAGCCGCGAGGAGGAGACAACCGAUGCAGCCGAGGUGGAUCGAGGCGGGAUUAGCUAUGGCGAGGACAGUGGUUGGCGGCGGAGUAGUGGUUCGAUUGCGUUGAGAACUGGAGCAAAGAAGCCAUGCCUACUUCAGCCAGUCUCUGUGGAGAGGCUUGAAUCGCUAUAUCUUGUUUUGUCAACUAGGAGCCAGUCGGGUGUAAUAAAAAUGCCGCCGAUUAUCUUGGCAGACAACGCUUUGACUGUGUCUGCAUCGGGAGCAACGAAGCCAUGUAUGUUUCAUCGCUUAAGCGAUCCGCGAAACAAGGAUAAAAUUGUCUAUCGGUCUGUCAUUAUAUGGUUUGGAAUUCCAAUUCCCGAAGCUGUGAAAGGAAUCGUACAGCGAGAAGUUAUUUAUGAAUAUUCUUCCGCCCACAGCAAUUGAAGAGAUAUAUUACCUCGUGCUCAUGAAUAUCGAAGUUCUACUAAAUAAACAGGCACCUACAGUGGACGCCUCAGCUUGCACCUUUGCUAGAAAAUCAUCAACUAACAAAAUGGAGGCUGCUUCUGACAGAGAUUCGAGAAUUUGUCCGCGAUCGAGUCAUCGUCCGCCGAUCACAGCUAUCGAAGUCACGACACCCCGAGCUUGAUGACCCUAAAUCAAGCUAGAUCUCCGACGCCCGGUGACCGCCGCGUAGGCUAAAUUCUCUGAAGCUUAUUUCUGGAGCUGGUGGCCCCCUCGCGGAAGCCUGAAUGGAAUAUCGAGCGGAAUGUAGGCCGGAUCGGGCGCGCUGGAAACGAAAUGCGUCCUCCGGUACGCAGACCCAUUUCGCGACGCUGACCUCGUGAAUGGGGCACGACGAGCAACACCGCGGAGAAAUGCCGAUCGAGUGUAGCAGAUUAAUUAUCUAAAUUUACCGCGAAGCGAGACGGGGCGAAGCGGACGACCGGCUAGCAUCCACGCUCGCGCAUGUCAACGAUUUAUUUUUGAAGCGAGCCGUGCCCCGGAAUCAUUGUAACAGUGUCCCUAGCGGCUUCACUGUUUUUACAAACGAAAUGUAACGUUCCGUCCGAGUUCUCCUUCGAAUGCUUUCGCUAUUUGGUAAUUUUACUACCGAUGCAACUAUUUAACACUAAAUCUACCGAGUAUGAAAUUGACUUGGAUGCGUUGCUUUAUUUUUAAAAA